rnacentral:rRNA from 1 species
UACAGAGGUCUCAAGCGUUGUUCGGAUUCAUUGGGCGUAAAGGGUGUGUAGGUGGCGCCGUAAGUCGGGGUGUGAAAUUUCGGAGCUUAACUCCGAAACUGCAUUCGAUACUGCGGUGCUUGAGGACUGGAGAGGAGACUGGAAUUCAUGGUGUAGCAGUGAAAUGCGUAGAGAUCAUGAGGAAGACCAGUGGCGAAGGCGGGUCUCUGGACAGUUCCUGACGCUGAGACGCGAAAGCGUGGGGAGCGAACAGG